AAGUAGUGCCUAUGCGCUAUUUAGUGGCAAACGGGUGAGUAACACGUAGCUUAGCUGUCCUAAAGUGGGGGAUAGCCGCGGGAAGCCGCGGGUAAUACCGCAUGUGAUCUACGGAUUAAAGCUUAAUGCGCUUUAGGAGGUGGCUGCGGCCCAUCAGGUUGUUGGCGGGGUAAUGGCCCACCAAGCCUAUGACGGGUAUCCGGCCUGAGAGGGUGAUCGGACACAUUGGAACUGAGACACGGUCCAGACUCCUACGGGAGGCAGCAGCUAGGAAUUUUCCGCAAUGGACGAAAGUCUGACGGAGCAACGCCGCGUGAAGGAUGAAGGUCUUUAGGGAUUGUAAACUUCUUUUAUAUGAGACGAGUAAGGACGGUAUCAUAAGAAUAAGUCCCGGCUAACUACGUGCCAGCAGCCGCGGUAAUACGUAGGGGGCUAGCGUUGUUCGGAAUUACUGGGUAUAAAGGGUGCGCAGGCGGAUUUCUAAGCAAGAGGUGAAAUGUCAAGGCUCAACCAUGGCACUGCCUUUUGAACUGGUUAUCUGGAGUACAGAAGGGGAGAGCAGAAUUUCCGGUGUAGGGGUGGAAUCUAUAGAUAUCGGAAGGAAUACCGUUCGCGAA
rnacentral:rRNA from 1 species